CCGCUGCCCUCUGGUGUCCUGCUGUGGGAGCUUUGUUCUUUCACUCUCGUAAUAAGUCUUGCUGCUGCUCACUCUUUGGGUCCGCACUGUCUCUGUGAGCUGUAACACUCACCGCGAGGUUCUGUGCCUUCGUUCUUUAAGUCAGGGAGACCACGAACCCACCGGGAGGAACAAACAACUGUGAUGCGCCAUCUUUAAGAGCUGUAACAUUCACCGCCGGGGUCUGCGGCUUCAUUCCUGGAGUGAGUGAGACCACGAACCCACCAGAAGGAAGAAACUCUGGACCCAUCUGAACAGCUGAAGGAACAAACUCCGGACACACCAUCUUUAAGAACUGUAACACUCACCGGGAGUCUCCGUGGCUUCAUUCUUGAAGACAGCGAGACCAAGAACCCACCAGAAGGAAUGAAUUCCGCACACAGCAACAGCACAAAGUUAAACCAGGAAGUCCCUCUGCCUUGCUAGGGAUCCAGGUUUGCCUUCCUGUUGAGGUAUCCCAUUUCAUUACAGUUGACCUAAGUUUGAACAAACACUGCCACCUGAUGCAUGAAAGCUCUACUGUGACCUACGUUAAAAGGAGCUGACACUCCCUCAGGCUACCUUAGUCAGUGGGGGCUUACUGCAGCAUACCUGUGGCGAUGAGAGAGAGAGGCACAUCACAGGAGCAUCUGGCACCAGUGGCAUCCUGGACCCACACUUUGGUGAUCACAGCUGGAUGAAGAAUGUCAGGGGAUGAAUCGGAAGAAAUGAAACUGGAAAGAGGAAGGAACCAAGUCUUGAAGGGUCUUGGAAGCCAUGUUAAGAAGGAUGAAUGAGAGAGCCCAGAGGAUGUCACGGUGAACUCACACUGAUAAAGACAUAUCUGGAAGGCUGUCUUCCACUCCCUGGAUGAAGAUGAGGUUAAAGCUAUUCCAGACAUCUUAUUUCAUGAAGAAUGGUAUGACAGAGAAGGCCCUAAAGCCUGGUGCUCAGAGAAACUGGUAAUGGCCCCAAAGGAUGACUACACUGUGGCCAGUGAUGCAUGGCAGAGAUUUGACUGUUGGAGGCCAAAAGAUUGAGGGUCGUGAUUAACUUAGUAUACCACUGGAGGCUAUAUGAGUAAACAGCAAACUGUUCUCAUAAAUGCGGAAUGUUGGCAAACUGACAAACUGUGUAUGCCACCCAGAAGUAGUGCUGAGGGCAGUCACACCCCAAGUGCAACGUUUCUUGUGAUUAGGUACAUCUGAAGCCUCUUGGUAAUAAUAUGAACCUGUGAUCAAUUAAGCAGCCGACCAAUUGUUACUGCCGCCUCCUUGCUCUUGUUACCCAAUAAAUACAAAGGGCUGUAGAAGCUCCGGGAGGAGGGGGCUGCCCUUGCUCACUAGAAGCAGGGAGCUCUCUUCUUCUUCCCCUGGCCCUUUCUUUAAAACAGAUUUCUUUUGUCUUAAGUUUUCAUUUCUGCGUUUGUCCCUUUGUUCAGUCUUGUAAUGACAGUCUCAAGUAGUGACAGUAGUAACUGUCAUAAUGACGGUCUCAGGUAGUAACAGUAGAAACUGUCACAGUGAUGGUCUCAAGUAGUAACUGUGGCAGUCUGCCACAUUUGACCAUC
rnacentral:lncRNA from 1 species